GGCUUGGCCACCGCUUGAUCGGGGGCACAACCACGACACACAGCACAAUGAACAUUGUGAAUUGCGAGCAAAAACAGAAGUCAUGACUCCACUGCACAAGAGCAGUGAGGUGGUGUGGCAAUUACAAAAGUCACAAAAAUAAGAUUAUCUCCAUGGUGAGACUGAUUGCUUGGGUGCCCGCAACUACCGACACUAUCAUGCAAGCUGCCUGUUCUCUCUAAGGUCCUGACGCGUCUCAUUUCAAUGUGGGGAAUAAGUAAAUGUAUCUCAUCACUAUUUCAAAGAACUGACAACCGUUUCCAAUUGUGUGAUCAACAAGAUUAGAACCAGUCAAGCUUUUGAACACAUUGGUGUACAAGGCUUCAAUUUUGUGGACGGUGUUCAUGAGUUUGUGUGCGAGAGAUAUAUGAGUGGACACUGCAAAAGCUGCUAGAGAAAUGAGUCAUAUGUUAAGGACAUAGAAGGUAGAAGAAGUUUAUACGGGAUCUUGAAUAUCAACCAUGUCACUUAUCUGGGCAUGUGCCACGUACAAUGUUAAGUGACUAGCAAUGCUCUUACUAGCGUUGGAUUUUUCUCUUUCGAUGACCUUGGGUAGACAGUCCUAUGUGUUAUGAAGCAUUGCCCAAAAGGACAAAUCCUGCGUGUUAUACUUGUAGCACUACAAAAGUACAAACGCCAUCCGCGUGCGUUGAUUCGGGGGUGAUCGACUCAUUAGUAUGGUCCUUGGAUGGCAUCACACCAACAAUUUUACAAGCUCGGUCAAUUUACCAUUUACCAUUUAAUAAAGAGAGACAAUGGAGGCCAGACCAGACCAACGACUCUUAAAAAUAUAUAUAGUGUGGUCAGGUUCCCCUGAUUUCAUCAAUGAUAGUAGCAAAUAGGGUAGAGCAUGUACCAUCAACUAGUAUUUUUUUAACAGAGCUUGACAUGGACUAUCCGUUUGAAAGAACAGAAAACUUUUGUUUUUCAGAGUACUACUAUUUUUCGAGAUUGGCACCGGCGACAAUCAAGCAN
rnacentral:lncRNA from 1 species